AUCCGGUGGCAAUGGCAGAGGUGCCACACCCGUUCCCAUCUCGAACACGGAAGUUAAGACCUCUAGCGCCGAUGGUACUGCAGGGGAGGCCCUGUGGGAGAGUAGGACGCCGCCGGGUU
rnacentral:rRNA from 1 species